AUUGAACGCUGGCGGCAGGCUUAACACAUGCAAGUCGAACGGUAGCAGGAGAAAGCUUGCUUUCUUGCUGACGAGUGGCGGACGGGUGAGUAAUGCUUGGGAAUCUGGCUUAUGGAGGGGGAUAACGACGGGAAACUGUCGCUAAUACCGCGUAUUAUCGGAAGAUGAAAGUGCGGGACUGAGAGGCCGCAUGCCAUAGGAUGAGCCCAAGUGGGAUUAGGUAGUUGGUGGGGUAAAUGCCUACCAAGCCUGCGAUCUCUAGCUGGUCUGAGAGGAUGACCAGCCACACUGGAACUGAGACACGGUCCAGACUCCUACGGGAGGCAGCAGUGGGGAAUAUUGCGCAAUGGGGGGGAACCCUGACGCAGCCAUGCCGCGUGAAUGAAGAAGGCCUUCGGGUUGUAAAGUUCUUUCGGUAUUGAGGAAGGUUGAUGUGUUAAUAGCACAUCAAAUUGACGUUAAAUACAGAAGAAGCACCGGCUAACUCCGUGCCAGCAGCCGCGGUAAUACGGAGGGUGCGAGCGUUAAUCGGAAUAACUGGGCGUAAAGGGCACGCAGGCGGUUAUUUAAGUGAGGUGUGAAAGCCCCGGGGCUUAACCUGGGAAUUGCAUUUCAGACUGGGUAACUAGAGUACUUUAAGGAGGGGGUAGAAUUCCACGUGUGGCGGUGAAAUGCGUAUAGAUGUGGAAGA
rnacentral:rRNA from 1 species